GGGGAUAUAGCUCAGUUGGUANGAGCGCCUGCUUUGCACGCAGGAAGUCAGGAGUUCGAAUCUCCUUAUCUCCA
rnacentral:tRNA from 1 species